ensembl:lncRNA
GGUGGGGCCGCCGUAGGGACCCGGACCCGGGGUCGCCAGCCCGGGUGGGCCGGGUCACGUGGGCCCCGCCGGGCUGCAGAGCGCCGGGGGCGGGGCGGCGAGGGGCAGCGGGAGGCCAUUUUGGGGGCGUAGUGGCCGCCCGUGACCGCCCCCGCCCGGGCCCCGGCUCCCGCCCCGCGAGCCGCCCGCCGGAGCAUCUUCUCGCCUGAGCAGAAAACAUCUCUCCGGUCCCCCGACGUCAGAGCCUCCUCCACCUCGGGUCGUCUCCUUUUCCCCAGCCUGAGCCAGAACCCCAAUCUAGGAUUCUCUGUCCCCUGGCCUCCACUGACACUGAAUAAUGAGACACUUGCCUCACUGCCCUACUGCCAGGAGGCAGCAGCAAUCUACCUGAGAGGCACAGGUGUGGGCAGGAGCCUGGGUCCUUCUUCUGGCUUGUUUCAAAUCACUGGAUGAUCUUAUGUCACCUCAUUUUCUGCACUCUUAAUAUGACCCCCUUGACGCAGUCUGAGGCCACAGAUCACGAUGACAAGAGGAAAUUAUCAGUAAGAAAAGACGGCUCUUAACCCAAGCCCACUCCAGGGUUCAGAAGACCUCGGGCCCGGCCCUCAAUGCCCCGGCCGCCAGCGCCCUCUCCCGGGCGGCGGGCACACAGCAGAGGCGCGCAGGCCGACGCUGCCUUUUCCCGGACUUCAGGACUUUCUCCUCCCGCCGCUCGGCUUCCUUUACUCCCGCCGCGUCCCGCCCGCAGCCGGCGCCUCCGCCCCCGCGCGCCGCCCUGCCCCGGGCGUUCGCGGCUUCCGAGGCCCGGCCCGGCCCGGCCGCCCACCCACCGGCACGUCAAACGCCCUCAUUUCCCUUGAAAAGUUUCUAGACGGUAGGGACUCUUUUCUCCUAAUGUAACCUUCCACCAAACUGGAGGGAAAAGUUACCCGAGGCCGGAGAAGGGCUGGGGCGCCGGGGGAGUCGCGGGAGCCUGGGCUCUAGAAACACGUCUCCCUUCCGGGAAAAUGAAUAAUUGGGCCCUCAAGCCAGAGUUUUGUUUGAUGGGUUAAUUGUAAAAGGUGUAUGGUGAUGCUAAAUAUUUAAGAUGAAGAUUUAAGAAAAAAUAGAUUCCACUAGACAAAUGGUUCUUGUCUUCAGACCUUGCAGUCCCGUUGUACCGAUUCUCAUGUUAUCCGUCUCUCUCUCCUCUGGCUCCCAAACCGUUAGGUUCCCCUGCAGGGCAAACAAGGUCCCCUGGGAAUGACUGUUUAAAUCAUGGAGACAACAGUCAAACCUAGAAACUGCUCUUUUAGGCGGUUUGCUGACUUCUAUCCGCAUUCAGGAUAGGUAAACCAGCCUGCAGAAGUAUAUAAUGAUUAGGAAAACCCACUACCUUGUAUUUUUCAAAUGGUGGGUGACAAAUCAGUUUGACAAAGGAGCAUUAGAGAGGGAAAAAGGGAAAGAAGGAGCCAGAAUAAAAGAACAGGAAAAUAUUUACAUAGUAAGGAUCAAUAUUAUUUCAUGAAACCUGUAUCCUAAGAGAAUACCGAAUGUGUGUUUGUGUUUAUUGAUUCGAGAUAGAGAAUGUAUCUCUUCCUGUGGGUUGCUGUCAAAAAAUGUUUGAAAACCACUGCACCAGACAGUGGAAUUAUUUUAGGAUGCUGAGAUUGGAAAGAUUUGGAAAGUCAUCUAAUUAAUUCCUCUACGCUUAGACAGUGUUUCAUUUAAAGAAUAGUACAGACUUUAUCUUUCUUGCUUAUCAUCUUCCCAUCUCAACAUCUGUAUUAACGAUUUAUGAAUAGUUUGUUUCUUUAAAGCUAUUAUUUCGGUAAAGAAAGCUAUAACCUAAAAUAUGAAGGCAGUUCUGCCAAACUCCUCUUUUUCUGCGGCUUCUCUUCUACCUUGUGACCCCAGGACCUCCAACCCAUUCCAAAUGUGCCAGAAAGCGCUGCCUCCAGGGCAGUCCCAGGAAGCCAGGUGGCUGGAAUAUCGUGUAAUCAAGUACUCCCGUGGAUCUAUUUUAUUUUUAUUUUUAAAUAAAUAUUUUUCUCGUUCCCCUUAUUGCUUAUUUUAAAAUUUUUAUCCUCCUUUAUAGGUGAUAUGAAAGCCUGAAGUGCUUGAAUUUGACUUUUCCCUUCUCAGUAGGAGAAGCUCUCUUUUGUGCCAACCAGGGCUAUAGUCUGUGACUGAAUUUUCUGCCUUCACUACCCCCUUUGUCCUCAUUACACACACUCACUUCAUCCUCCCCUUUUCAUUAGUUCAACAUUUGGAUUAGAAAGCCCAUGUGUAUGUGUGGUGCAGGUGCUGACAGUAGGAACAUUCUGCAUUGUCAGUAGUGGGCCAUGGCCCAACAAUAAUAAGAUAAUUAUUAUCAUUCAUUUAACAGCUAACAUAUACUCAAAACUUUUCUGUGCUGAGUAUCGUACAUGCGUUAGGUUAGUGAGCGCUC